rnacentral:rRNA from 1 species
GAUGAACGCUGGCGGCGUGCCUAAUACAUGCAAGUCGAGCGAAUGGAUUAAGAGCUUGCUCUUAUGAAGUUAGCGGCGGACGGGUGAGUAACACGUGGGUAACCUGCCCAUAAGACUGGGAUAACUCCGGGAAACCGGGGCUAAUACCGGAUAACAUUUUGAACCGCAUGGUUCGAAAUUGAAAGGCGGCUUCGGCUGUCACUUAUGGAUGGACCCGCGUCGCAUUAGCUAGUUGGUGAGGUAACGGCCCACCAAGGCAACGAUGCGUAGCCGACCUGAGAGGGUGAUCGGCCACACUGGGACUGAGACACGGCCCAGAAUCCUACGGGAGGCAGCAGUAGGGAAUCUUCCGCAAUGGACGAAAGUCUGACGGGGCAACGCCGCGUGAGUGAUGAAGGCUUUCGGGUCGUAAAACUCUGUUGUUAGGGAAGAACAAGUGCUAGUUGAAUAAGCUGGCACCUUGACGGUACCUAACCAGAAAGCCACGGCUAACUACGUGCCAGCAGCCGCCGUAA